CUUCACUCAUCAGUCAUCUGCCUGCGUCCAUCCUUCUCUGUUUUCUGUCUGAGUCCAAUAAAUCUUUUUACUUGCAAUUGGGUCUCCCUGUAAUUCGUGACACCUGAAGCAUGGAGCUGAAGAGGGCUUAGAAUAUAGAGAGCUGCGGAGGGCCUGGAGCGUGGAGCUGCGGAGGGCCCGGAGCAUGGAGCUGCGGAGGGCCUGGAGCAUGGAGCUCCAGAGGGCUUAGAACAUAGAGCUGCGGAGGGCCUGGAGCGUGAAACUGCAGAGGGCCUGGAGCAUGGAGCUGCGGAGGCAAGGCAAGGUGUCGAUUUUAGUUUGCCUACAUAUAUUAUGUGCCAUUGAGAGUGAAUGAGAGCAAACAACUCAUGACCUCACGGUGUUUGGAAAUACCCAUUCGGCAUCCCGAGGAAGAGCUGAAGUGAGAGAUUGGCUCUUACCUUCCUCCUAGGAUCCUGCGGAAAGGCUGGAGGUGUGAGAGAAAGGAUUCUAAACUGGAAGGCAGCGCGUCCCAUGCUGGCAGCGCUUGGGCUUCACACCUGGAAAGAGAAAAAAAGUCUCAUGUUACAUUAGCUACACAUGGCACACUGCAUCUAUUUGCAGGUGGAAUCCCCAGCCCCCCACAGGGGAAAGAACAGUCCUCCUCUUCUCCUUUUUGCAGCCUCUCCAUUGCAGAAGAUGAAGUUCACAAGGAUCAGGUUGAGAAAAAUCGCCCUCCAUUCCUGGAUGAGCUCACUGUGUACCCCAUGGAAAGAAAGGAUGGGGUACUGGGAGGAUUUCAACUCACAUAUUAGCCCCCAAGAUGAAACCUCCGCACCCUGGGAAGCACAGCCAUUAUGCCCGAUUCCAGAUGCGUGACCACACUUUGCACCCCAGAGGGUGGUAGCUGGCCCCCGAUGCUCGCCUCUGAUGCUCUGAUGUGUGUCUGAUCU
rnacentral:lncRNA from 1 species